AACUUUUAACAAUGGAUCACUUGGUUCCGGCAUCGAUGAAGAACGCAGCGAAAUGCGCUAACUAAUGUGAAUUGCAGAAUUCAGUGAAUCAUCGAGUCUUUGAACGCACAUUGCGCCCCCUGGUAUUCCGGGGGGCAUGCCUGCCCGAGCGUCAUUGCUGCCCUCAAGCACGGCUUGUGGGUGGGGCUCCGUCCCCCCGGGGAGGGGCCCGAAAGGCAGCGGCGGCACCGAGUCCGGUCCUGGAGCGUAUGGGGCUUUGUCACCCGCUCUGUAGGCCCGGCCGGCGCCAGCCGACAACCCAUCAUCCUUUUCAGGUUGACCUCGGAUCAGGUAGGGAUACCCGCUGAACUUAAGCAUAUCAAUAAGCGGAGGAU
rnacentral:misc_RNA from 1 species